rnacentral:lncRNA from 1 species
AUUACACGAUACAUCAGAUCGUAAUACUUUCUUAACGAACUACAACAUCGUUUCUUUUCAGUUACCAGUAGUUUUGCAGCAUCAUCAGAGCGUGGAUAUGGCCGAUCUUCUCUGAAGUAAAACUCAGCCAUGGAUGCUAAGUCCUCUCCCGAGCAUCUAGCUGUGGGAGAGGUUUGCAACGUUAUAAAAACUGUUCCAAAAUUGUAUGUUUCAACUCUUCAAGAUAAACAGCCUACUCCAUCAAAAUUUGAGCUCUAUCCAGUUAUCAUCCAGCAUGGUAAUCCUGUAAUCCAAUUCACUAAAGAAGAGGUUAACAAAUUCAUUAGGGAAGAAGGUUUACAUCAGGCAACA